CGAGCCGGCCGGGCGGCCGCGUCGGAGCUCUUCGGGGCUCCGCCGAGGAAGGUCCGGGCUCCACAGGGCAGGAUGGUGGGUAACGCCCACCCGGGGCGACCCGCGGGACAGUGCCACAGAAAACAGACCGCCGGGGCCGUACCCGUACGGCACCCGGUAAGGGUGAAACGGUGGUGUAAGAGACCACCAGCGCCCAGGGCGACCUGGGCGGCUCGGUAAACCCCAUCCGGAGCAAGGUCAAGAGGGGCCGGUCGCGACAGAGCGGCCCUGCGCGGACGACCGAGGGCAGCCCGCCCGAGUCCGCGGGUAGACCGCAGGAGGCCGGUGGCAACACCGGCCCUAGAUGGAUGGCCGCCACCCCGGGCGCCGCGAGGCACCCGGGUGACAGAACCCGGCCUACAGGCCGACUCGUCCG
rnacentral:RNase_P_RNA from 1 species